rnacentral:rRNA from 1 species
CGGCCGCGGUAUCCUGACCGUGCAAAGGUAGCAUAAUCAUUUGUUCUCUAAAUAAGGACUUGUAUGAAUGGCCACACGAGGGUUUAACUGUCUCUUACUUCCAACCAGUGAAAUUGACCUUCCCGUGAAGAGGCGGGAAUAAAAAAAUAAGACGAGAAGACCCUAUGGAGCUUUAAUUAAUUAGUUCAACAUAAGUUACACCACAUACCAACAGGUAAUAACAUGAACACACCGCANUGAACUAACAAUUUGGGUUGGGGUGACCUCGGAGAACAAAAAAACCUCCGAGUGAUACAAACUCAGACUUACCAGUCGAAGNNUAUCACCAUCACUUAUUGAUCCAAAAAAUU